rnacentral:rRNA from 1 species
CCUACGGGUGGCAGCAGUGAGGAAUAUUGGUCAAUGGGCGGAAGCCUGAACCAGCCAAGUAGCGUGAGGGAUGAAGGCCCUACGGGUGGUAAACCUCUUUUGCAGGGGAGUAAAGCCCGGCACGUGUGCAGGCCGGCAGGUACCGCGCGAAUAAGGACCGGCUAAUUCCGUGCCAGCAGCCGCGGUAAUACGGAGGACCCGAGCGUUAGCCGGUUUUAUUGGGCUUAAAGGGAGCGGAGGCGGGCGUCAAAGUCAGCGGUAAAAUCGCGGGGCUCAACCGCGCACCGCAGUUGAAACUGGGCGUCUUGAGUGCACGAGAGGUAGGCGGAAUUCGUGGUGUAGCGGUGAAAUGCAUAGAUAUCACGAAGAACCCCGAUUGCGAAGGCAGCUUACCGGAGUGCAACUGACGCUGAGGCUCGAAGGCGUGGGUAUCAAACAGGAUUAGAUACCCGGGUAGUC